rnacentral:rRNA from 1 species
AUUGAACGCUGGCGGCAUGCUUUACACAUGCAAGUCGAACGGUAACAGGCCGCAAGGUGCUGACGAGUGGCGAACGGGUGAGUAAUGCAUCGGAACGUGCCCAGUCGUGGGGGAUAACGCAGCGAAAGCUGCGCUAAUACCGCAUACAAUCUAUGGAUGAAAGCGGGGGACCGUAAGGCCUCGCGCGAUUGGAGCGGCCGAUGUCAGAUUAGGUAGUUGGUGGGGUAAAGGCUCACCAGGCCAACGAUCUGUAGCGGGUCUGAGAGGACGACCAGCCACACUGGGACUGAGACACGGCCCAGACUCCUACGGGAGGCAGCAGUGGGGAAUUUUGGACAAUGGGCGCAAGCCUGAUCCAGCAAUGCCGCGUGCAGGAAGAAGGCCUUCGGGUUGUAAACUGCUUUUGUACGGAACGAAACGGUCCUGGUUAAUACCUGGGGCUAAUGACGGUACCGUAAGAAUAAGCACCGGCUAACUACGUGCCAGCAGCCGCCGCAGUAA